rnacentral:rRNA from 1 species
CUUAACACAUGCAAGUCGAGCGGUAGCAGAUCUAGCUUGCUAGAUGCUGACGAGCGGCGGACGGGUGAGUAACGCGUAGGAACCUGCCCAGUAGUGGGGGAUAGCCCGGGGAAACUCGGAUUAAUACCGCAUACGCUCUACGGAGGAAAGAGGGGCUUCGGGCUCUCGCUAUUGGAUGGGCCUGCGUGAGAUUAGCUAGUUGGUGAGGUAAUGGCUCACCAAGGCGACGAUCUCUAGCUGGUCUGAGAGGAUGAUCAGCCACACUGGGACUGAGACACGGCCCAGACUCCUACGGGAGGCAGCAGUGGGGAAUAUUGCACAAUGGGCGCAAGCCUGAUGCAGCCAUGCCGCGUGUGUGAAGAAGGCUUUCGGGUUGUAAAGCACUUUCAGUGGGGAGGAAGGCCUCGUAGUUAAUAGCUGCGAGGAUUGACGUUACCCACAGAAGAAGCACCGGCUAACUCCGUG